CGACUUCCUUAGAAACUCCGAAGCCGUUCUUGAUGUCUAUGAAGACACUGUCUACUCUCUUCACACCACUCGCACCCCUGAAUUUCUUGGUCUCAACACUGAUUUGGGUCUGUUCGAUGGGCAUAACACUUUUUAGAUAUCGAUCAAGCCUCUCAUGAUGUUAUCAUUGGGGUGCUUGACACUGGGGUUUGGCCCGAGUCUAGGAGUUUCGAUGACACGGGUAUGCCUGAAAUCCCAACUCGGUGGAAAGGUGAGUGUGAGUCUGCUGCAGAUUUCAAUGUUAAACUCUGCAACAAGAAGUUGAUUGGAGCUCGUUAUUUUUCAAAGGGCUACCAUAUGGCAACUGGAGGUAGUUACUUGAAGAAGCCUAAAGAGAUCGAGUCUCCUCGUGACCAAGACGGGCAUGGAACUCACACCGCCAGCACAGCCGCCGGGUCUCAAGUGGCCAAUGCUAGUUUGCUAGGCUACGCCAGCGGCACCGCCCGAGGGAUGGCCACGCACGCUCGAGUCGCGAGUUAUAAGGUGUGUUGGAAUACUGGUUGUUUUGGAUCCGACAUCCUCGCAGGCAUGGAC
rnacentral:misc_RNA from 1 species